GCGGAGGUUGCCGAGCUAGGUCAAAGGUGCCAGAUUGAGGGUCUGGCUCCGUAGGGAUCCGAGGGUUCAAAUCCCUCCCUCCGCA
rfam:Thermoplasmatales archaeon I-plasma AMDT3_IPLC00001, whole genome shotgun sequence.